rnacentral:other from 1 species
UGGGCGGUCAACAAGCGCAGGUCUGGCGGAGCGCGGUGGUGCGCGGAGACCACGAAGAGGCCGGCAGCUGCGGAGCCCCCGGCGGCGCGCCCCCCGGCCGAACCGGAAGCAGCGCCAGUCAGUGCCACUUGCCGUGCGCGGCCCGCCUCCGCCUCCGCCUCCGCCGCCGCCGCCGCCGCCUCCACCUCCACCUCCGCCGCCGCGGCUGCCGCCUCCGCCGCCUUCGCGGCGACCCUCGGUCAAGCGUGCAGCGCCCGGCGGUCAUGGCCGCACCAACCCGAGCGCCACCACCGGCGCUCGCAGGCCGCGGGUGAAGAAGAAAGUCCGAUCUCGCUCCGCCCGGCGCGGAGAGGCGAUCUGGAGCAAAGAGGUGGCCAGGAUCCCAGAGGUAACCAAGAGUGAAGAGGUGACCAGAAGCCAGAAAGGCACCGAGAGCCGAGAGGUG